CCCACUGAUGAUCACUCCCUGAGUACAACAUUACCCAGCUUCCUACUCAGCCCCAGACUAUCUAUCCAGUCUUUAUCCUCAGGUGGAAAAAAAAUACAUUCUUGUGCAGAAGUAAUUGAGCCUAGAGAAGAGCAGAACGAGGAUCUGUGAGAGCAACAGCCCUGCAGAGACCAAGGUCAGUGAAGAAGGAGGAAGAAGAGAGGCUGAGGCAGAGGUUCCCUGGCAGCCACUGUUGCAGCCCAUAGAGAAGGAUCAUUGCCCCUGCAGCCCUUGGAGGUCCUUGGGGGUUCAGAGAUCCACCUGUGGCCUCUGGAGUUGACACACAAUGGAGCAGGAAUCAGCUGCAGGGUGGAUUUAAUUUCCCCAAGAAGAAAGAGGGAGUGGAAAAC